UACGUAGGGUGCGAGCGUUAAUCGGAAUUACUGGGCGUAAAGCGUGCGCAGGCUGUUUUGUAAGUCAGAUGUGAAAUCCCCGAGCUCAACUUGGGAACUGCGUUUGAAACUAGCGAGCUUGAGUGUGGCAGAGGGGGGUGGAAUUCCACGUGUAGCAGUGAAAUGCGUAGAGAUGUGGAGGAACACCGAUGGCGAAGGCAGCCCCCUGGGUCAACACUGACGCUCAUGCACGAAAGCGUGGGGAGCAAACAGG
rnacentral:rRNA from 1 species